AUACUUACCUGACAGGGGAGAUACCAUGAUCAGGAAGGUGGUUUUCCCAGAGCAAGGCUCAUCCAUUGUACUUGGGAUGUGCCAACCCCUGCAAUUUCCCCAAAUUUGGGAAACUUGGCUGCAUAAUUUGUGAUAAUAGGAGACUGCGUUUGUCCUCUUCCCUG
ensembl:snRNA U1 U1 spliceosomal RNA